rnacentral:rRNA from 1 species
GAGUCUGCCUUGAAGAUCGGAGUGCUUGCACUCUGUGAAACAAGAUACAGGCUAGCGGCGGACGGGUGAGUAACACGUGGGUAACCUGCCCAAGAGAUCGGGAUAACACCUGGAAACAGAUGCUAAUACCGGAUAACAACAGAUGAUGCCUAUCAACUGUUUAAAAGAUGGUUCUGCUAUCACUCUUGGAUGGACCUGCGGUGCAUUAGCUAGUUGGUAGGGUAACGGCCUACCAAGGCGAUGAUGCAUAGCCGAGUUGAGAGACUGAUCGGCCACAUUGGGACUGAGACACGGCCCAAACUCCUACGGGAGGCAGCAGUAGGGAAUCUUCCACAAUGGACGCAAGUCUGAUGGAGCAACGCCGCGUGAGUGAAGAAGGGUUUCGGCUCGUAAAGCUCUGUUGUUGGUGAAGAAGGACGGGGGUAGUAACUGACCUUUGUUUGACGGUAAUCAAUUAGAAAGUCACGGCUAACUACGUGCCAGCAGCCGCGGUAAUACGUAGGUGGCAAGCGUUGUCCGGAUUUAUUGGGCGUAAAGCGAGUGCAGGCGGUUCGAUAAGUCUGAUGUGAAAGCCUUCGGCUCAACCGGAGAAUUGCAUCAGAAACUGUCGAGCUUGAGUACAGAAGAGGNNNNUGGAACUCCAUGUGUAGCGGUG